GCGCUCGUAGCUCAGUGGAUAGAGCGUCUGUUUCCUAAGCAGAAGGCCGUAGGUUCGAUCCCUACCUGGCGCG
rfam:Gossypium raimondii chromosome 7, whole genome shotgun sequence.